rnacentral:rRNA from 1 species
ACUUGUACCGACUGGAUGAGCAGCGAACGGGUGAGUAACGCGUGGGGAAUCUGCCUUUGAGCGGGGGACAACAUUUGGAAACGAAUGCUAAUACCGCAUAAAAACUUUAAACACAAGUUUUAAGUUUGAAAGAUGCAAUUGCAUCACUCAAAGAUGAUCCCGCGUUGUAUUAGCUAGUUGGUGAGGUAAAGGCUCACCAAGGCGAUGAUACAUAGCCGACCUGAGAGGGUGAUCGGCCACAUUGGGACUGAGACACGGCCCAAACUCCUACGGGAGGCAGCAGUAGGGAAUCUUCGGCAAUGGACGAAAGUCUGACCGAGCAACGCCGCGUGAGUGAAGAAGGUUUUCGGAUCGUAAAACUCUGUUGGUAGAGAAGAACGUUGGUGAGAGUGGAAAGCUCAUCAAGUGACGGUAACUACCCAGAAAGGGACGGCUAACUACGUGCCAGCAGCCGCGGUAAUACGUAGGUCCCGAGCGUUGUCCGGAUUUAUUGGGCGUAAAGCGAGCGCAGGUGGUUUAUUAAGUCUGGUGUAAAAGGCAGUGGCUCAACCAUUGUAUGCAUUGGAAACUGGUAGACUUGAGUGCAGGAGAGGAGAGUGGAAUUCCAUGGGUGUAAACC